CCCCCGCGCCCGGGACGCUCUCCAGGAAACACUCCGCCCCGAGCUCGGACUCCUGCCUGCGCCUGCCGCCUCCUUCCUGCUCGUCUGUCUUCGCCUGCCCCUUAUUGGUCACUGUCACCCCAGAAGGCUCCGUCCUCCGACCCUUCGCCCUCCGAGAACUCGUAAGGAGAGAGAAUUGAUGCCUGUGAGUUACAGCGUUGGUGAUGAAACCGAAUACACUACGAAUGCCCCUUAGAAUCAAGGCAGAAACACUUCUCUCUGCUCACUCCCUGCGAGACCUCC